rnacentral:rRNA from 1 species
UUGGAAGUUUAAAUUUCUAGGUAGAAUUAUGAUGAUGACAUUAUCUACCUAUUAGUCUUGACCAAAUUACGUGCCAGCAGUCGCGGUAAUACGUAGAAGACAAGUGUUAUUCAUCUUUAUUAGGUUUAAAGAGUACCAAGACGGUUAAUAAAGCCCAAAAGAAAUGAAUACGGGGGACACAUUAACUAGAGUUAUAUGAAAGGAAGCUAUAAGGUACUGUUGUGUGUAGAGAUGAAAUUUUAUGAUACCAGAUGAUUGGCACAGAUUUAUGCGAAGGCAUCUUCUUAUGUAAUAACUGACGUUGUAGGACGAAGGCUUAGGAAGUGAACAGGAUUUGGUACCCCAGUAAUCUAGGCAGAAAAUGAUGAAUGUCAUAGGUUGAAUACAGACAGGUUAAAUUGACUAUCUAAUAGUAAAUAGGUGGUAUAUUAAUCAGUCUAUUAUUGUGUCUAUAAAUGAAAGUGUAAGCAUUCCACCUCAAGAGUAAUAUGGCAACAUUGGAACUGUAAUCAUUAGACCGUUUCUGAAACCAGUAGUGAAGUAUGUUGUUUAAUUAGAUGAUACACAAAAACCUUACCACAAUUUGAAUAUAUAUAAAAUAUAUUUACAAGCGCUGCACGGCUGUCUACAGUUAAUGUCGUGAGACUUUGGUUAGCUCCAUUAAAUUGACGUAAACCCUAAUUUUAUUUAUAAAUAUAAU